AACGACUCUCGACAACGGAUAUCUCGGCUCUCGCAUCGAUGAAGAACGUAGCGAAAUGCGAUACUUGGUGUGAAUUGCAGAAUCCCGUGAACCAUCGAGUCUUUGAACGCAAGUUGCGCCCGAAGCCAAUAGGCCGAGGGCACGUCUGCCUGGGUGUCACGC
rnacentral:rRNA from 7 species